AUUGAACGCUGGCGGCAUGCCUUACACAUGCCAGUCGAACGGCAGCACGGGUGCUUGCCCCUGGUGGCGAGUGGCGAACGGGUGAGUAAUACAUCGGAACAUGUCCUGUAGUGGGGGAUAGCCCGGCGAAAGCCGGAUUAAUACCGCAUACGAUCCACGGAUGAAAGCGGGGGACCUUCGGGCCUCGCGCUAUAGGGUUGGCCGAUGGCUGAUUAGCUAGUUGGUGGGGUAAAGGCCUACCAAGGCGACGAUCAGUAGCUGGUCUGAGAGGACGACCAGCCACACUGGGACUGAGACACGGCCCAGACUCCUACGGGAGGCAGCAGUGGGGAAUUUUGGACAAUGGGCGAAAGCCUGAUCCAGCAAUGCCGCGUGUGUGAAGAAGGCCUUCGGGUUGUAAAGCACUUUUGUCCGGAAAGAAAUCCUUGACUCUAAUACAGUCGGGGGAUGACGGUACCGGAAGAAUAAGCACCGGCUAACUACGUG
rnacentral:rRNA from 1 species